AACGAACGCUGGCGGCAGGCUUAACACAUGCAAGUCGAACGCCCCGCAAGGGGAGUGGCAGACGGGUGAGUAACGCGUGGGAACGUGCCCUUCGCUUCGGAAUAGCCCCGGGAAACUGGGAGUAAUACCGAAUACGCCGUAUUGGGAAAGAUUUAUCGGCGAAGGAUCGGCCCGCGUUAGAUUAGCUAGUUGGCGGUGUAAUGGACCACCAAGGCUACGAUCUAUAGCUGGUCUGAGAGGAUGAUCAGCCACACUGGGACUGAGACACGGCCCAGACUCCUACGGGAGGCAGCAGUGGGGAAUCUUGGACAAUGGGCGCAAGCCUGAUCCAGCCAUGCCGCGUGAGUGAAGAAGGCCUUAGGGUUGUAAAACUCUUUCGCCGGAGAAGAUAAUGACGGUAUCCGGAGAAGAAGCCCCGGCUAACUUCGUGCCAGCCGCCGCUGUAACAC
rnacentral:rRNA from 1 species